GAUGAACGCUGACAGAAUGCUUAACACAUGCAAGUCUUUGGCGAAGCUGUGCUUGCACAGCCUAGCCAAGGCGGACGGGUGAGUAACGCGUAAGGAACUUGCCCUGCAGUCAGGGAUAACAGACGGAAACGACUGAUAAGACCUGGUAAAGUCAGGCGGACUCAUGUCCAGCCUGAUGAAAAGAGAUGCUGCAGGAGAGCCUUGCGUCCUAUUAGCUUGUUGGUGGGGUAACGGCCCACCAAGGCGAUGAUAGGUAGCCGGCCUGAGAGGGUGGACGGCCACAAGGGGACUGAGAUACGGCCCUUACUCCUACGGGAGGCAGCAGUGGGGAAUAUUGGACAAUGGGGGCAACCCUGAUCCAGCAAUUCUGUGUGCACGAUGAAGGUUUUCGGAGUGUAAAGCGCUUUCAGCAGGGAAGAAAAAAAUGACGGUACCUGCAGAAGAAGCGACGGCUAAAUACGUG
rnacentral:rRNA from 1 species